rnacentral:tRNA from 1 species
GCGCGCUUAGCUCAGCUGGUAGAGCAACUGACUUUUAAUCAGUAGGUCACAGGUUCGAACCCUGUAGCGCGUACCA